rnacentral:rRNA from 1 species
UCCCCCAUCCGUCCCCCCUCCCCCCCGGUCGCACUCGUUCUGCUGCUCCCCGCAUCGUCGCCGUCCUCCUCCUCCGCCGCGGCGCCUCGACGCGGAGAGAUCCGCGCGCGGGGCCUGGCCGCCGUCGCUUCGUCAGAUUGGACAGAUUAUCACUCAGUUGGGGGAAUAGCGGAAUAGUAUUUUGACUUCCUCUUGCCUUGAUCGUUCUUUGGGCAUCAUCACAAUGUCAGGAUCACUGAAUUCAAAUAUUGGUGGGGAUUCAACAGGAAGGCCAUUCACAUCAACCUUUUCUGGCUUGCAUAAUAUCCACGGAAAUCUCAAUCUUGCAUCACUAUCGCCAAGGAAUGCUUCAUUGUCAGGUAUUCCAUCCCCAGGUGUUCAACAACCUGGCGGCAAUAUUUCUGGUAGCCGGUUUCCCUCAAAUAACCUUCCAGUGUCCAUGUCUCAGAUUUCUCAUGGCCAUUCUGGGAUCAGCAACAGAGGAGCUUCUUCAGUUUUGGGGAACUUAGGCCCACGGAUAGCAAAUUCUGGGGGCAAUAUAGUGGGUGGCAGCAGUAUUGGCAGAAGCAUAAGCUCAGCAGGAAUGUCCAUGCCUGGUAUUGCAUCUCGUAUCAAUUCGAGCGGCAACUCUGGAAGUGGGGCUCUUAAUAUCCCAUCCAAUCGACUGAGUGGUAUGCAUCAAGCGUCGCCACAGUUCAUGAACAUUCUUGGGAGUUCUUAUCCAACACCUGGAGGAACGCUAUCUCAGAACCAAGUUCAGGCAGGAAGCAAUUCUUUUAGUUCUUCUGGAAUGCUACAUGAAGGAAACUCUGGUGACAAUUCUCCGUUUGACAUAAAUGAUUUUCCCCAGUUAACUGGGCGUCCUAAUUCUGCUGGAGGUGGUCAAGGGCAAUAUGGGUCACUGCGAAAGCAAGGCGUAAGUGUAAAUGCUAUUGUGCAACAAAACCAGGAGUUCAGCAUUCAGAAUGAAGAUUUUCCAGCUUUACCAGGAUAUAAAGGCAAUUCGUCAGAUUAUGGUAUGGAUUUGCAUCACAAGGACCACCUUCAUGAGAAUGCAAAUAUUAUGCAGGCACAACAUUUUCCUAUGGGUAGAUCAUCUGGCUUUAAUUUGGGAGGUAGCUAUCCACCCCGCCAACAACAGCAGCAGAGCACUACUUCGGUUCAAAAUGGUCUUGAUAAUAUUGGGCUAAGGCCGAUAAAUUCUCCAAGUCCGUCUUCUAAUUCGGGGUCUUAUGAGCAACUCAUCCAGCAAUACCAUCAACCGCAGACUCAGAAUUCACUUAGGUCGCAGACGUCUUCGGGCCAACAGUCAUCCAAGGAUCAGAGUCAAAAGUCUGCUCAGGGAAAAGAAACUGUGCCAGACCCAUAUAGUUUACUUGGAUUGUUGAACUUAAUAAAAUCGAAAGAGCCUGGACCAACAGCUCUUGCUUUAGGGCUUGAUUUAACUACACUAGGGUUGAAUUUGAACUCCCCAGAUUGUCUUUGGAAGACAUUUGGCUCUCCAUGGUCAAAUGAGCCAGCUAAAGGAGAACCUGAUUAUCAGAUCCCUGCUUGUUACUCUGCUGAGCAACCUCCACCACUGCAGCCAUUCAAUUUUCCAAAGUUUCACCCCUUGACACUAUUCUACAUCUUCUACAGUAUGCCGAAGGAUGUUGCUCAGUUAUAUGCCGCGAAUGAACUAUAUAACAAAGGGUGGUUUUACCACAGAGAGUAUCGUGUGUGGCUCACACGAGCUUCAAAUGUGGCGCCUCUUGUGAAAACUCCACUGUAUGAACGAGGAUCCUACAUUUGUUUUGAUCCCAACCUGUGGGAUACAAUUCAGAAGGACAACUUUGUGCUCCAAUAUGAAUCUGUAGAGAAGAGACCUGUCCUACCUUCCACCAGCCAAAACGUUAGAUUAUAAGCUGUUGUACUUCUGUAUUAGAGAAUGUCGAUUUUCUUCAUCCGGAUCAGUACCUGUUAUUAUCAUAGGAUAUAGGUGGCGUACAUUUGUGCAAAAUGAUUCUGACUUGUGUGCUGUUCCGAAGAAGGAGCUUCUCUGUGUUGGCUGGCAGCCCUGAUGGUAGCUUUAGACAUGUAGCCGAGGAAAAUGUGCCUCAUUAAUCCGUUGGCUGUAAACCAGUAGGGUCAAUUUGGUAUUGUGGGCUGUAAUUGACUUGAGUCUUUUAGCUUUCGUAAAAAUCAGACCUGUACUCUUUAUCUAUGAGUUAAUUACCGGUACUUUGGAUUUACAAUGUGCCCCUCGUUUUUAAUAGUCUGGGAAUGAUGCUCGUGAUUUGCUUGU